rnacentral:sRNA from 1 species
GGAAGGAGAAGUCGUAACAAGGUUUCCGUAGGUGAACCUGCGGAAGGAUCAUUGUCGAAACCUGCCCAGCAGAAUGACCCGUGAACUCGUAAAAACACCGGAGGGGGCGUGCCUUGCGUCCGUUCCCCUCCCUUCUGCAUCAAGCGUGGGCUAGCUCUCACGUUUGUUGUGGAACAACCAACCCCGGGCGCAGCAUGCGCCAAGGAAAACUAACAAGAGAGCACGUUCUCAAGCCCCACACAUGGUGAGCUUGGGACGCGGUGCCUUCUUUCACAUUAUCUAUAACGACUCUCGGCAACGGAUAUCUCGGCUCUNGCAUCGAUGAAGAACGCAGCGAAAUGCGAUACUUGGUGUGAAUUGCAGAAUCCCGUGAACCAUCGAGUCUUUGAACGCAAGUUGCGCCCCAAGCUGUUAGGCUGAGGGCACGUCUGCCUGGGUGUCACGCAUCGUUGCCCACCCAACCCCUCUGGGGCCAGCGGUUUGGGCGGAGAAUGGCCUCCCGUGUGUUAACACUGCGGUUGGCCCAAAUAUGAGUCCUCGGCGACCAAAGCCGCGAUGAUCGGUGGUGCAAACGUGCCUCUCGAGAUCGCAUCGCGUGCUCACGUCUUCGAUCUGAGACUCAAGGACCCUGACGCUUUGCGCAAGCGGAGCUCGCAUCGCGACCCCAGGUCAGGCGGGAUUACCCGCUGAGUUUAAGC